CGCGUAGGCGGCCUUUUAAGUCGGAUGUGAAAGCCCGGGGCCUAACCCCGGAAGUGCAUUCGAUACUGAGAGGCUCGAGUAUGGGAGAGGGAAGUGGAAUUCCUGGUGUAGAGGUGAAAUUCGUAGAUAUCAGGAGGAACACCUGUGGCGAAGGCGACUUCCUGGACCAAUACUGACGCUGAGGCGCGAAGGCGUGGGGAGCAAACA
rnacentral:rRNA from 1 species